AUUGAACGCUGGCGGCAUGCCUUACACAUGCAAGUCGAACGGCAGCACGGGUGCUUGCACCUGGUGGCGAGUGGCGCACGGGUGAGUAAUACAUCGGAACAUGUCCUGUAGUGGGGGAUAGCCCGGCGAAAGCCGGAUUAAUACCGCAUACGAACUACGGAUGAAAGCGGGGGACCUUCGGGCCUCGCGCUAUAGGGUUGGCCGAUGGCUGAUUAGCUAGUUGGUGGGGUAAAGGCCUACCAAGGCGACGAUCAGUAGCUGGUCUGAGAGGACGACCAGCCACACUGGGACUGAGACACGGCCCAGACUCCUACGGGAGGCAGCAGUGGGGAAUUUUGGACAAUGGGCGAAAGCCUGAUCCAGCAAUGCCGCGUGUGUGAAGAAGGCCUUCGGGUUGUAAAGCACUGUUGUCCGGAAAGAAAUCCUUGGCUCUAAUACAGUCGGGGGAUGACGGUACCGGAAGAAUAAGCACCGGCUAACUACGUG
rnacentral:rRNA from 1 species